rnacentral:rRNA from 1 species
GACGAACGCUGGCGGCGUGCUUAACACAUGCAAGUCGAGCGAUGAGAUCCCUUCGGGGAUGGAUUAGCGGCGAACGGGUGAGGAACACGUGAGGAAUCUGCCUUCUACUCUGGGAUAACUCCGGGAAACCGGGGCUAAUACCGGAUAUGAAACUUGGUGGCAUCACCGAGUUUGGAAAGUUUUUCGGUAGAAGAUGACCUCGCGGCCUAUCAGCUUGUUGGUGAGGUAAUGGCUCACCAAGGCGACGACGGGUAGCCGGCCUGAGAGGGCGACCGGCCACACUGGGACUGAGACACGGCCCAGACUCCUACGGGAGGCAGCAGUGGGGGAAUAUUGGGCAAUGGAGGAAACUCUGACCCAGCGACGCCGCGUGCGGGAUGAAGGCCUCGGGUUGUAACCGCUUCAGCAGGAAGAAGCGAAAGUGACGGUACCUGCAGAAGAAGACACCGGCUAACUAUGUGCCAGCAGCCGCGGUAAU